UACGUAGGGGGCAAGCGUUGUCCGGAUUUACUGGGCGUAAAGAGCACGUAGGCGGAAGCUUAAGUGUGGCCUGAAAGCCCCCGGCUCAACCGGGCGGAGGCGAGCGAAACCGCGGGGCUGGAGGCUGGCAGAGGGUGGUGGAAUUCCCGGUGUAGUGGUGAAAUGCGUAGAGAUCGGGAGGAACACCCGCGGCGAAGGCGGCCACCUGGACCAGACCUGACGCUGAGGCGCGAAGGCCGGGGGAGCGAACGGG
rnacentral:rRNA from 1 species